UCCGGCGCUCGGCACGUCCUUAGAGUCGGGUUGUUUGGGAAUGCAGCCCUAAGCGGGUGGUAAACUCCAUCCAAGGCUAAAUACUAGCACGAGUCCGAUAGCGAAGAAGUACCGCGAGGGAAAGUUGAAAAGAACUUUGAAGAGAGAGUUCAAGAGUACGUGAAACCGCUGAGAGGCAAACUGGUGGAGCUGAAAUGGCUUUUGGGAAUUCAGCCCUUCGCUCGGGCGAUGAUGCCGAUUGUCUCACGACUCCGUCGGUGUUUCUGUCUGAAUGAUAGGUGCACUUUCCUUAAGCCGGACCACGACCAGCGAGUUGUCUUGUCUGGUAUUGGUGGAAGGUAGCGUUGACCUCGGUGAACGUGUUAUAGCCACUGAUUCGGAGCGAGCGGCGCGUUGGAUUGAUGCCUGCCCUUUGGGCUCGUACGUUGUCUCUUAUCAGGGUGUCGCCGGCUUCACUGCUUCGGCAGGGGAGUUGGAGACGCUUUGGUUCGAGGCGGCCUCUGCGAUUGGCGUCUAAGUCAGUGGUUUCGAAGUAGGCAGUCCACCUGACCCGUCUUGAAACACGGACCAAGGAGUCUAACAUGUGCGCGAGUCAUUGGGCUCUACGAAACCUAAAGGCGCAGUGAAAGUGAAGAUCCAUUUGUUGGAUUGAGGUAGGAUCCUGGGUUACGUGCUCAGGCGCACUACCGGCCCGUCCGAUAUGUACGGGCGGAGCAAGAGCGUACACGUUGGGACCCGAAAGAUGGUGAACUAUGCUUGCGCAGGUCGAAGCCAGAGGAAACUCUGGUGGAGGACCGUAGCGAUUCUGACGUGCAAAUCGAUCGUCAAACGUGAGUAUAGGGGCGAAAGACUAAUCGAACCAUCUAGUAGCUGGUUCCCUCCGAAGUUUCCCUCAGGAUAGCUGGCACUCGGGAAAUGAAACAGUUUUAUCCGGUAAAGCGAAUGAUUAGAGGUA
rnacentral:rRNA from 1 species